rnacentral:lncRNA from 1 species
UUUUGCUGACUGCCGCUACUACUUGUAAGAAGCUGCCCAAAAUCUGGGAUGUGUAAUAUAUACUCUGUUCUUUAUUUCGACCGAUCAAGGUAAACCAACACACCUGACCUGCUGGGCAACUGAAAUGAUGCAUCAGGAUCAGAUCAUCGCAACCAACAGUAGAUGACCAAACCUCUCGUCCUAUGUGAAAGAGUUAUAAGUGCGUACUAAUUCCAUGAGCUUUUUU